ensembl:miRNA
UAUUAGGUUGGUGCAAAAGUAAUUGCGGUUUUUGCCAUUAAAACUGUGGCAAAAACUGCAAUUACUUUUGCACCGGCCUA